rnacentral:tRNA from 1 species
GUGGCAGAUUGGUAAUGCAUAUGACUUGAAAUCGUAUCAGGAGGGUUCGAUUCCUUCCUUUCUUAGUAUAC